rnacentral:snoRNA from 1 species
UUUGCAAAUGACGAUAAAAGACAGGGACAUCAGUACUUAUUCUAAGGAUGUUGAUUUGUCUUUGGGAAUCUCUCUGAUGCAUA